rnacentral:rRNA from 1 species
UACGGAGGGUGCAAGCGUUAUCCGGAUUCACUGGGUUUAAAGGGUGCGUAGGUGGGUCUGUAAGUCAGUGGUGAAAUCUCCGAGCUUAACUCGGAAACUGCCAUUGAUACUAUCUGUCUUGAAUAUCCUGGAGGUGAGCGGAAUAUGUCAUGUAGCGGUGAAAUGCUUAGAUAUGACAUAGAACACCAAUUGCGAAGGCAGCUCACUACGGGAUUAUUGACACUGAGGCACGAAAGCGUGGGGAUCAAACAGG